CUAUUUUGAAACAUUAACAAAUAUGCAAAGGAUUUUAACAUUAAACUUCGUGGAAAUGAACAGCAAAGCUUCGCCGUACAAUUCCAAUCCAGUUCAAGUUCAAAGCUGUGGAAAGUCAACAAGAUCAACUAUCUCCAAAAACCAGAUUUGCGUUCUUAAACUCUACUCUGUCUGGUUUUUACUUUGCCAUAUUUGUCAUGUUUAUUUGUCGUUUGUUAUUUGCUUGUUUUUGGUGUGAGUAUAUGCUUGAAACAUUGAGGACAAUGUUUGAUUUAAGUGUGGGGGGGAGUAACCAUUGUUUUGCAUGAAAUUCGUAGAAAUUUAUCACCCAUUACUUCUAGUGUUGUUCCUUGUUGUUUUAAGUAUUUUUAAGCUGUUUUGGAGUGUUUCAGUGUGUUUUGACAUAAAAAUCCAAAAAUUCAUAAAAAUUUGAAAAAUUGUUUUUGAAAAUCCAAAAAAAGAGUUGUUUUUGUGCGCUUAUUUGUGUCUUAGGGUACCUUCCAACACAAUGAUGAGGAUUCAGUUUGUAAUUGCAUGACUGUUAAAGAGAGUUAUAAACAUGGAUGAAAGUUUGAUUUACUCUUUAUUUAUGCGUGAUUGUGGUUAUAACUUAUGAAAUCACAUGUAAUCAUAAAAGAAAAAAAUUAGUUUUUUGUAACAUGCUUGAAGGAAAGAACUCAAACUAACGCUACAACCUUGUGAGAAUUGAGCCUAAAUAUUUAUUUGGAGAGUUAAAAUCUGUGCAUUAUUGUUUUCUAAAGUCGUUGCAUGAUCUCAUUAUUCUUUG
rnacentral:lncRNA from 1 species